ACGAACGCUGGCGGCGUGCUUAACACAUGCAAGUCGAACGGAAAGGCCCUGCUUUUGUGGGGUGCUCGAGUGGCGAACGGGUGAGUAACACGUGAGUAACCUGCCCUUGACUUUGGGAUAACUUCAGGAAACUGGGGCUAAUACCGGAUAGGAGCUCCUGCUGCAUGGUGGGGGUUGGAAAGUUUCGGAGGUUGGGGAUGGACUCGCGGCUUAUCAGCUUGUUGGUGGGGUAGUGGCUUACCAAGGCUUUGACGGGUAGCCGGCCUGAGAGGGUGACCGGCCACAUUGGGACUGAGAUACGGCCCAGACUCCUACGGGAGGCAGCAGUGGGGAAUAUUGCACAAUGGGCGGAAGCCUGAUGCAGCAACGCCGCGUGCGGGAUGACGGCCUUCGGGUUGUAAACCGCUUUCGCCUGUGACGAAGCGUGAGUGACGGUAAUGGGUAAAGAAGCACCGGCUAACUACGUG
rnacentral:rRNA from 1 species